rnacentral:rRNA from 2 species
GGAUGAACGCUGGCGGCGUGCCUAAUACAUGCAAGUCGAACGAGUUUUGGUCGAUGAACGGUGCUUGCACUGAGAUUCGACUUAAAACGAGUGGCGGACGGGUGAGUAACACGUGGGUAACCUGCCCUUAAGUGGGGGAUAACAUUUGGAAACAGAUGCUAAUACCGCAUAAAUCCAAGAACCGCAUGGUUCUUGGCUGAAAGAUGGCGCAAGCUAUCGCUUUUGGAUGGACCCGCGGCGUAUUAGCUAGUUGGUGAGGUAACGGCUCACCAAGGCGAUGAUACGUAGCCGAACUGAGAGGUUGAUCGGCCACAUUGGGACUGAGACACGGCCCAAACUCCUACGGGAGGCAGCAGUAGGGAAUCUUCCACAAUGGACGCAAGUCUGAUGGAGCAACGCCGCGUGAGUGAAGAAGGCUUUCGGGUCGUAAAACUCUGUUGUUGGAGAAGAAUGGUCGGCAGAGUAACUGUUGUCGGCGUGACGGUAUCCAACCAGAAAGCCACGGCUAACUACGUGCC